AUUGAACGCUGGCGGCAUGCCUUACACAUGCAAGUCGAACGGCAGCACGGGAGCAAUCCUGGUGGCGAGUGGCGAACGGGUGAGUAAAGUAUCGGAACGUGCCCAGUCGUGGGGGAUAACGUAGCGAAAGUUACGCUAAUACCGCAUACGAUCUGUGGAUGAGAGCGGGGGAUCGCAAGACCUCGCGCGAUUGGAGCGGCCGAUAUCAGAUUAGGUAGUUGGUGGGGUAAAGGCUCACCAAGCCGACGAUCUGUAGCUGGUCUGAGAGGACGACCAGCCACACGGGGACUGAGACACGGCCCAGACUCCUACGGGAGGCAGCAGUGGGGAAUUUUGGACAAUGGGCGAAAGCCUGAUCCAGCCAUGCCGCGUGCAGGAUGAAGGCCUUCGGGUUGUAAACUGCUUUUGUACGGAACGAAAAGGUUUGGCCUAAUAAGCUGAGCUCAUGACGGUACCGUAAGAAUAAGCACCGGCUAACUACGUGCCAGCCGCCGCCGUAA
rnacentral:rRNA from 1 species